GAGAUAAGCAAGGUGCCGUGUUUGGUGGGUUGCUGGACUGUCCUUUAAAACCUACAGCAAAACGAAAGUAUCAAGGGACAAACCAAUCUUUUGUUUUUACUACAUUAUAUGGUGAACCAAGGUUGUUUCGGCCAACUGGUGCCAACCGGUACUACUGCAUGUGUUUGAAUGACUUGCUUGCACUUGGUGGGGGUGGUAAUUUUGCUUUAUGCUUGGAUGGAGAUCUGUAAGCUUUUUGUUAUUGCUU